ACAGGAUGAUCGUGGCAAUUAAGGUGUGAAAGCUGACGUGGCCCAGGCAGAACAAACGCCCAACUUACAGCGGAAGAUUAACACGGCCUCCUCCCCAACUGGCAGACCGGUGUGCGUACUGGUGCUGUUUAUAACCUGAUGGAGUGACAGCGGGGACGGCCAAUCACACAAGGAAUGCAGAGCCAAUGGAGGAGCUUGUGGGCAGGUCUAAACGAAAGCAAACUGGCUUCAGCUCGAGCGGCCGUUUCCGCUUGGUCCUAGUGCCUGACGAGUCUCUGUUUACCAUAGCGUAACAUGGUUUCCGGACGGUGAAAACUGCAGGGGACCAGAACGGCCUUUUGAAAAAGCGCAGGGGACAUGUCCCCUGUGUCCCCCCCCCCCCAAAUUACGUCUGUGGGUGUGACGGUGGCUUCCGUUCCUGCUGGCACUUUCUACAAAGGAUCACGCCUGUCUUCCUCACGUAUUUCUCUUUUUUUUUUCCUGUACAGUUGUGUUGUGUAAGGAGUUGAUGGUGGCAUCAACUCCUUACACAACGGAGUUGGGGGGUUGAAGACCAUCACCUGCAAGGGUCCAGGCACGGUAGGAAGCUGUGCAGUGAAGGGGAGAGAGACGGGUGGAGCUGGUGCUAUCACACCAAGUGGUGGUGCUUGGUGGAUGGCCUGAGGUUGCGGUCUCCCCUUGAGCUUCGCCUGCCCAGCAGUGUUUGGUGGCAGAAUGAACAGCUGGAUGGUGGUCUCACUCAGCACCUUCGCGUUGGUGACGACGCACUCUCUGAUGUGCUUGUUAGCACGCGUCACCACCGUGAAGCGCGACACCCUCCUGUCAUCACAGCGCACAGCGCUUGGGUAGAGCGCACACAGCCUGAUGAAGAUGGCCUCCACCACCCUGUUGCAGUCUGGCCACUGCAGGACAGUGAGCCCCAACGAAACACCUGCAAAUUACAACAGAAUCCAUAUCUUUAAUAUAAGAUUGUUUUCAAUGCGUGAUCCUUACUCACUGUGCUAUUUUUGUUGUUAAAUACAUUUCUUAAUAUCUGUGCAUAA